UGCGCUCUAUUCUCUUUUUUUUCAUCUUAUUUUUAAUUUACUAUGGUAUUCUUUAAACUGUUACAUAUCAUGCUGUUUCCAUAUCAAUUGAUAUCAGAGCUGAGAUCAUGCAGAGCAAUUUAAUCUUGUAGUACAAUCCGAGAUGGCAGGAAAUAAUUCAACCAAGUUCGAGAUCCCUUGGUUUAAUGGGACAAACUUUGCACUGUGAAAGCUGAAGAUGCAUGUGGUG
rnacentral:lncRNA from 1 species